rnacentral:lncRNA from 1 species
UGCUGGUUGGCGUUAAGUAAGCCCAGCUGUUUACGCUGGAGAAACAAGGGGGACAGAACUCUAAAUUAUUAGUAUGGUAUCUUUAGAAUGACAGGCAGUGGGGCUAUUGCUUGGCUUCUUUAAAAAAAGCAAGUUGGGUAGGCGCCUGUGAAUUCCCCUCCUUUUCCUGUUGGCCUUGACAGCAACUCCUCAAGCCCAGUGAGAUGAUGUCAUAAAACCGGCUCAACCUGUGGAAGGAUCAUGUACAAUCCAGUCUCCGUGGAGUUCUGCCUGCAGCUGUCCACUGAGACAGGCAGAGGACCCAAGCCUGGAGGGUGGCAGCUCUGGGGCAGGUGCAUGGAGACCUGUGGCGAGGGGCAAAGCACUGGAAUCUUUUCUUCAAGAGAAGUAUUUCAUGGAGGUCGCGGACGCAAUACGUAUAAAAGCAGCACACUGUGACAAGUAGGAGAGACAGAUGGAUCCCUACCAUCCAGGCUUUCCCUUCUCCCUACGGCUCGCGGGUACACAGGGGAAAACGUGUUUCGGAGUGCUGGGAUCUGCUGAAUCAGUCAUCACUCAUCCAUCUGCCUUCCAGCUUCCAAAAUGUUGAUGUUUUCUCUUCUUCUUUUUUUUUUCUUUUUUGUUUUUUGAGCUUAGCCCUUUUUAAAAGAUCACUUUACUGUCAUUUCCGUGUAUUUUUGGAAGAGAAACUGUUUGUUCAUUCUAAUGUCUUUAACCAGAAUCUGACCUCUCUACAUUUAACUUUCUUGUUCUUCUCUAAUAAUAGUCCUAAUGAGAUAAGCAGGAAAGAUAUCAUUGCCCUUCUUUUACUGAUAAAAUAUUUGAGAGUUAGAUUGUUUAAGUGACUUGUUUGAGAUUACUAAACAGGUCCUAGAAUAUUCAAGUCUCAGAAGUCAUAUUUGUUAUUCUUUUUACCUAAUGUAAAUUGCUG